AGCGAACGCUGGCGGCAGGCUUAACACAUGCAAGUCGAGCGGGCACUUUCGGGUGUCAGCGGCGGACGGGUGAGUAACGCGUGGGAACGUGCCCUGGUUCGGAAUAACACAGGGAAACUUGAGCUAAUACCGGAUACGCGCUUUUGGGGAAAGGCUUGCUGCCGGAGGAUCGGCCCGCGUCUGAUUAGCUAGUUGGUGAGGUAACGGCUCACCAAGGAGACGAUCAGUAGCUGGUCUGAGAGGAUGAUCAGCCACACUGGGACUGAGACACGGCCCAGACUCCUACGGGAGGCAGCAGUGGGGAAUAUUGGACAAUGGGCGCAAGCCUGAUCCAGCCAUGCCGCGUGAGUGAUGAAGGCCUUAGGGUUGUAAAGCUCUUUUAUCCGGGACGAUAAUGACGGUACCGGAGGAAUAAGCCCCGGCUAACUUCGUG
rnacentral:rRNA from 1 species